rnacentral:rRNA from 1 species
UACGGGGGGGGCAAGCGUUGUUCGGAAUUACUGGGCGUAAAGGGCUUGUAGGCGGCUCGCUAAGUCAGACGUGAAAUCCCUCAGCUUAACUGGGGAACUGCGUCUGAGACUGGCAAGCUUGAGUGCAGGAGAGGAACGCGGAAUUCCAGGUGUAGCGGUGAAAUGCGUAGAUAUCUGGAGGAGCACCGGUGGCGAAGGCGGCGUUCUGGACUGUAACUGACACUGAGGAACGAAAGCCAGGGGAGCAAACGGG